CCUACGGGAGGCAGCAGUAGGGAAUAUUGGACAAUGGAGGCAACUCUGAUCCAGCCAUCCCGCGUGAAGGAUUAAGGUCCUAUGGAUUGUAAACUUCUUUUCUCUGGGAAUAAAAAGCGGUAUUCAUAUCGCCUUGAAGGUACCAGAGGAAUAAGCACCGGCUAACUCCGUGCCAGCAGCCGCGGUAAUACGGAGGGUGCAAGCGUUAUCCGGAUUCACUGGGUUUAAAGGGUGCGUAGGUGGCUUUGUAAGUCAGUGGUGAAAUGCCGCAGCUCAACUGCGGAACUGCCAUUGAUACUGCUUAGCUUGAAUCAGGUAGAGGUGGAUGGAAUAUUACAUGUAGCGGUGAAAUGCUUAGAUAUGUAAUAGAACACCGAUUGCGAAGGCAGUUCACUAUGCCUGCAUUGACACUGAGGCACGAAAGCGUGGGGAUCAAACAGGAUUAGAUACCCCGGUAGUC
rnacentral:rRNA from 1 species